AGUGAACGCUGGCGGUAGGCCUAACACAUGCAAGUCGAACGGCAGCACAGUAAGAGCUUGCUCUUACGGGUGGCGAGUGGAGGACGGGUGAGGAAUACAUCGGAAUCUACUUUUUCGUGGGGGAUAACGUAGGGAAACUUACGCUAAUACCGCAUACGACCUACGGGUGAAAGCAGGGGAUCUUCGGACCUUGCGCGAUUGAAUGAGCCGAUGUCGGAUUAGCCAGUUGGCGGGGUAAAGGCCCACCAAGGCGACGAUCCGUAGCUGGUCUGAGAGGAUGAUCAGCCACACUGGAACUGAGACACGGUCCAGACUCCUACGGGAGGCAGCAGUGGGGAAUAUUGGACAAUGGGCGCAAGCCUGAUCCAGCCAUGCCGCGUGGGUGAAGAAGGCCUUCGGGUUGUAAAGCCCUUUUGUUGGGAAAGAAAAGCAGCAGGUUAAUACCCCGCUGUUCUGACGGUACCCAAAGAAUAAGCACCGGCUAACUUCGUG
rnacentral:rRNA from 1 species